ACAACUCUGAUGCUAGGCGGCCUGGGCGGAUCUAGGCGGCCUGGGAGGUUCUAGGCAGCCUGGGCGAGUCUGGGCAUUCUUUUUUUUUCUUUUUUCCAAAUGAAGACAGACAAAGCUUGCACUCGCAGUCCAAUCUUCAAAAUUCAAAUACUCGUUGGCAACGUCAGAUGAGCAUCCAAGGCAGUUUCUUAGUAUGCCAGAAGAAGCCCAUCAGAUGGUUCUCUAACUUGAGGCACACCUUGCAGUUUGGCACUGGAUUACACCAUGCCGGUCUGAAUGACAAAGAUAGAUCUCUGGUUCAGGCAUUUCUGUUUUACGUCAGUAUUGGUUUGUACCAGCACAUUGGCUUGGGGCGUAAACCUUCCAGGUCAUCAUCUGGUCAUUAUUAAGGGAACAGAAUAUUAUGAUGGGAAAACAAAGAGAUAUGUUGAUUUUCCAAUAUCAAUCACAGAUAUAUUGCAAAUGA